UACGUAGGUGGCAAGCGUUGUCCGGAAUUAUUGGGCGUAAAGCGCGCGCAGGCGGCCUUUUAAGUCUGAUGUGAAAGCCCACGGCUCAACCGUGGAAGGUCAUUGGAAACUGAAAGGCUUGAGUACAGAAGAGGAAAGCGGAAUUCCACGUGUAGCGGUGAAAUGCGUAGAGAUGUGGAGGAACACCAGUGGCGAAGGCGGCUUUCUGGCCUGUUCUUGACGCUGAGGCGCGAAAGCUAGGGGAGCAAACGGG
rnacentral:rRNA from 1 species